UACGGAGACUGCGAGCGUUACUCGGAUUCACUGGGCGUAAAGGGUGCGUAGGCGGCCUAGUAUGUCGGGUGUGAAAUCUUGGGGCUCAACCCCAAAAUUGCGCCCGAAACUACUUGGCUAGAGUAUUGGAGAGGAUAGUGGAAUUCCUGGUGUAGCGGUGAAAUGCGUAGAUAUCAGGAGGAACACCGAUGGCGAAGGCAGCUAUCUGGACAAUUACUGACGCUCAAGCACGAAAGCAUAGGUAGCGAAAGGG
rnacentral:rRNA from 1 species